GAGGGCACAGCUCAGUGGUAGAGCGCGUGCUUCACAUGCACGGGGUCCUGGGUUCAAUCCCCAGUACUUCCA